CCUACGGGAGGCAGCAGUGGGGAAUAUUGGGCAAUGGGCGCAAGCCUGACCCAGCAACGCCGCGUGAAGGAAGAAGGCUUUCGGGUUGUACACUUCUUUUCUCAGGGACGAAGAAAGUGACGGUACCUGAGUUAUAAGCCACGGUUAACUACGUGCCAGCAGCCGCGGUAAUACGUAGGUGGCGAGCGUUAUCCGGAUUUAUUGGGUGUAAAGGUCGUGUAGGCGGGAGCGCAAGUCAGCUGUGAAAACUGAGGGCUGAACCCUGAUCCUGCAUUUGAAACGGUGUUUCUUGAGUGCUGGAGAGGCAGUCGGAAUGCGGGGUGUAGCGGUGAAAUGCGUAGAUAUACGGAGGAACAGCGGUGGCGAAGGCGGAUUGCUGGACAGUGACUGACGCUGAGGCGCGAAAGCGUGGGGAGCAAACAGGAUUAGAUACCCGGGUAGUC
rnacentral:rRNA from 1 species